AAGGAGAUUGUUGUGGGUAAACAAGUCCUGGGAUUACAUACAGUGAUUACAAAUAACAUCGUGUCUGAAAUGGAAUUACAUAAAUUCAUUCACACGCAGCAGAGCAAUAUUCUCUAUACUAGUCAUUUGUGUACCUGAAUAACAAGUAUUAUAAUAUUCUGAUUCAUUGAAGUACACAGCCGGUGAGGAAGAAGGUUUCUUACUGGGACAUCCACAAAGCUUGUGGAUUGGAUGACGCUAGUUGUUGUCUUCCAGCUACGGAGUCGCUAAAUGUGCUCAUUCCUUGGGGAGAAAUUGAAACCACCAAUCGAUCAAUCAAGGUACUCGAACUCAUCGUCCCGGAGAUGGGCGAAUAGCUUGACAGGUGCGUCUCGACCUUCGAUGUCCAACAAGAAUUCUACCUUGUAAGGGAGAUUGGCGGAGAUUUGCUUGCCCUUCCAAACCCCGACGAACUGCUUGAUCUUGCCUUCUUUGCCAGUCAGAUCCACCUCCGGCACUUUAGGGACAUGGUAGACCUUCAGCGGCACCUUCA
rnacentral:lncRNA from 1 species